GAAGACACCCAGAAGUGAAGGGCUAGAGCCUCUCUCUCUCUCUCUCUCUCUCUCUCUCUAUCUCUCGCUGGCCAGUGGCAAUCCUUCGUUGACGUACAAAUCUUUGUUCAACGAAGCAUAAUAUACUGAUCACCAGUUGUAGAUCUAUUCAUUACAAGCCCUGAUUUCACAAAUUUAAGAUCUACUUAAUAUAGAAAACGACGCCGUCUUGGAAAUCAAAUUCACAACAAGACCCGUUUCAGGUUUUGAGUGAUUAUGCUUAUUUUGCUUCAGAUCUGGGGUUUAUAGUAUUAGUUGCUCCAUUGCUUUUUGAAUCCGUGUGUUGGAAAUGUCAAUUGUACCUAAAGGCGACUCCAUUCAAAUCCGAGAGGUGUGGAAUGAUAAUCUUGAGGAGGAAUUCGCUUUGAUUCGCGAAAUUGUCGAUCGAUUCAAUUAUGUAGCUAUGGAUACUGAAUUCCCAGGCGUGGUUUUACGUCCUGUGGGGAAUUUUAAGAACAUCAACGAUUAUAACUAUCAAACUUUGAAAGAUAACGUUGAUAUGUUGAAAUUGAUCCAAUUGGGUCUUACGUUCUCUGACGAGAACGGGAAUUUGCCAACUUGUGGGACCGACAACUUCUGCAUUUGGCAGUUUAAUUUCCGUGAGUUCAAUAUCAGUGAGGACAUCUUUGCUAGUGAUUCUAUUGAGCUGUUGCGCCAAUGCGGAAUUGAUUUUAAGAAGAAUAAUGAGAAGGGUAUUGAUGUAAACCGGUUUGGUGAGCUUCUGAUGUCGUCAGGAAUUGUUUUGAAUGACGGCGUGCAUUGGGUUACAUUUCAUAGCGGGUAUGAUUUUGGGUACUUGCUUAAGCUUUUGACUUGCAGGAGUUUGCCUGAUACACAAGCUGGAUUCUUCGACUUGAUCAAUGUUUACUUUCCCAUUGUGUAUGAUAUCAAGCAUUUAAUGAAGUUUUGCAAUAGCCUUCAUGGUGGGUUGAACAAGCUUGCAGAGUUGUUGGAGGUGGAAAGAGUUGGUGUCUGCCAUCAAGCAGGCUCUGAUAGCUUGCUCACGUCUUGCACAUUUAGGAAAUUGAGAGACAACUUUUUCAGCGGCUCCACAGAGAACGGCAUGGCUUCAGGAGAAUGUGAAAUGGAAUGAGAGAAAGCAAAGUGAAUGGGUUCGGUCCUGGAUACAUGCAAAUUUAGAAGAGGCUUUCUACUGACGCAGUUUGUUGAGGAUUUUCAGUAAUUGCAUGACCCAAGAGCCUCCUUGUGGUUCAGCUUUGGCAGUAGAGUUCUUGAUGCAGAUGCUGAAGUAAAAUGUUAUGAUUUAAAGACAUUACUAUGAAUUUACUAAACUUUAAGGGCUAAACUCUACUAUGAUUUUUUUUUUUCAAAAUCUAUUGAUCAGUUAAUACGGCUAAGUACAAAUUUGUUAUCUUUUAGUCCUUUGCGAGUAAAAUGCCAAUUGGCAUGGUUGCCUGGUUUGUUCUUUAAACUCUGACCUGACAAUUUUUUGCUUUGUUGUUGGUGAUGGCGUUACACGAUUGCUAGUGCAUGCUCUUUUGUUGAAGAAAUGCUUCUUUCUAGUUCA